rnacentral:rRNA from 1 species
UACGGGGGGGAGCAAGCGUUGUUCGGAUUUACUGGGCGUAAAGGGCGCGUAGGCGGUCAGCACAAGUCAGUUGUGAAAUCUCCGGGCUUAACUCGGAAAGGUCAACUGAUACUGUGCGACUAGAGUGCAGAAGGGGCAACUGGAAUUCUCGGUGUAGCGGUGAAAUGCGUAGAUAUCUGGAGGAACACCGGUGGCGAAGGCGGCAUCCUGGACCGGGUAUUGACGCUGAGGCGCGAAAGCUAGGGGAGCAAACGGG